rnacentral:rRNA from 1 species
AACGAACGCUGGCGGCAGGCUUAACACAUGCAAGUCGAACGGAUGCGAGCAAUCGCGUCAGUGGCAGACGGGUGAGUAACGCGUGGGAACAUACCCUCCGGUUCGGAAUAGCUCAGGGAAACUUGGAUUAAUACCGGAUACGGCUGAGAGGCGAAAGAUUGAUUCGCCGGAGGAUUGGCCCGCGUUCGAUUAGCUAGUUGGUGAGGUAACGGCUCACCAAGGCGAUGAUCGAUAGCUGGUCUGAGAGGAUGAUCAGCCACAUUGGGACUG